AUCCUCUGGUUGAAUUUUUCCAUAGCAUCAGCACCGGCCAUUCAACUCUGGUGGUAGUAGUUGCUGCCUUUUGGCGCUGGUGCUAUGGAUAAAUUCAACCGGAUGGUU
rnacentral:pre_miRNA from 1 species